AUUGAACGCUGGCGGCAUGCCUUACACAUGCAAGUCGAACGGUAACAGGUCUUCGGAUGCUGACGAGUGGCGAACGGGUGAGUAAUACAUCGGAACGUGCCCGAGAGUGGGGGAUAACGAGGCGAAAGCUUUGCUAAUACCGCAUACGAUCUCAGGAUGAAAGCAGGGGACCGCAAGGCCUUGCGCUCACGGAGCGGCCGAUGGCAGAUUAGGGAGUUGGUGGGAUAAAAGCUUACCAAGCCGACGAUCUGUAGCUGGUCUGAGAGGACGACCAGACACACUGGGCCUGAGACACGGCCCAGACUCCUACGGGAGGCAGCAGUGGGGAAUUAUGGACAAUGGGCGCAAGCCUGGUCCAGCCAUGCCGCGUGGAGGAUGAAGGCCUUCGGGUUGUAAACUGCUUUUGUCAGGGAGGAAAUCCCUAGUGCUAAUACCGCUGGGGGAUGACAGUACCUGAAGAAUAAGCACCGGCUAACUACGUGCCAGCCGCCGCCGUAACAC
rnacentral:rRNA from 1 species